rnacentral:lncRNA from 1 species
GCACCGUGCUGCCAGCCCGGGCCCUGCGCUGAACCAGCGGCCAAAGGUCCUUCUCCUUUUGGGUGUUUUUUUUUGAUCCCUGUGGUUAAAAAGGGGUUAGGGCAGAAGCCAGGACGUUGGCUCAGGGAAGGUUCUGCAGCCUUCAUACACCACAGAUUCUUCAGGUCUGUGUCUCAACCCUCAGCCCGGUGGGGUCUCAGCGUUCCCCAUAGGAAAUCACCUUGUAUAAUCAGCUUGUACAAACCACCUUUUGCACAUGAUUUCAUUGGAGAGGAGGGGUGAUAAGUUUAACAGGAGCCGCAAAAAGAGAUUUACAGAAGAUCACAAGAAGCCACGGUGACAGCUUUCCUGACCAGCUCUGAUCCCGCAGCUAUUUGCUCCAAAGGAACUCCUGGCAUAAAAUAAAGAAAAAGGGGUGAAUGAGAGCUGAAUCAGACACAGCAGUGUCCCCAUCUCUCUUAGGCAUUCUAGCAUUGUAAUAAUAGUAAUACAGAGUAUCUCAAUUUGUAUUCAAUGAUAUACGUGCCUUGUGAGAUGACAGCUACUUGGGGUAGAUUGGCUGAUACAGAUGGGGUUUUUUUUUUGCAGCUGUUCUAUCCACAGCCUACUGAAAUGAGAUGUGGCCAUCCUGCUCCUCCAAAGGACUGUGCCCAGUGCUGCUUGGAUCAACUCUGAAACCAGCUAGCUGGUGAAGUGUGACUGUAGACGCUGUUGGAUUGUGUUGUGUAAUGAGUCUUUUCUAGGAUUUUGUUUGUGUGGCUGACUUGGUUUUAUUAUCUCUAGUUUAAGAGCAGCCAAUUGCACUUCGUGGCAACAGGAAGUCUGUGCUCAAGGUGCCAGCAGGAGCCAGCUCCAGCACCUCAUAGAAUAACAUCUCAGUCCUUUCAGCAGCUUGUCCCUUUUCCUAUUUUGUUUAAUUCCCAUAACUGUCUUCACAUGAAACCCUGAAGCUGCAAUGUACAUCUUGGUUUUCUGUUACAGUGCUUGUUUGUUUGUAGCGGGAAAUGUAAUCCUUCAAAUGCCUGUGUUUAAGAGGAUGCAAAUCAGCUUGCUAGCACAAUGCUUUGGGAACGUUUCUUUCAUGCAAACUACAGCUAAAUAAAUAAAGGGGGGGAAGAGGGAAAGGGAAAAAGGAUUGUUUGCUUCUGUAAACAGCAAGAAUUAAUUAUGUUCAGCAAAUGGGUGAAGAUGGGCAAAGAUUAAAAUCUGUUUCUUUCUCAAUGCGGGUGAAAUCUACGCUCCUAUCUCCCAGUUGCAGCAAACCCUAUUGCACAGCCUGUCCGGUGCCGUGGGGCAACGCGGUGCCACGAGCUGUGACUUGUGGCUGUCCCAGCAGAGAGCGCUCGGGCCACCAGCGACACACAGGAUACCUCCACGAUGAAUCUGAGGUUCCUCUGCACCGCAUCUGCUCCG